rnacentral:rRNA from 1 species
CCUACGGGGGGCUGCAGUAGGGAAUUUUCGGCAAUGGGGGAAACCCUGACCGAGCAACGCCGCGUGAGUGACGAAGGUCUUUUGAUCGUAAAGCUCUGUUGUUAGGGAUGAACUAUACUUUUAGGAAAUGAGGAGUAUUUGACAGUACCUAACCAGAAAGCCACGGCUAACUACGUGCCAGCAGCCGCGGUAAUACGUAGGUGGCAAGCGUUAUCCGGAAUUAUUGGGCGUAAAGAGUGAGCAGGCGGCAGUUUAAGUCUGGAGUGAAAGCGUGAGGCUCAACUUCAUACAGCUCCAGAAACUGAACAGCUAGAGUACGAGAGAAGUAAGUGGAAUUCCAUGUGUAGCGGUGAAAUGCGUAGAUAUAUGGAGGAACACCAGUGGCGAAGGCGACUUACUAGCUCGAGACUGACGCUCAGUCACGAAAGCGUGGGUAGCAAACAGGAUUAGAUACCCCUGUAGUC